ACAGCCGUGAAGCGACCAGGAGUAUAUAGCUAUUUUAGCUGUAGCACAAAUCCAAUUCUUCAGAAAGAUCAAAAUUACGGGAUGAUGACCACCAUCGCAAGAAGACAUCAAACUAUGUGAAUACCAUUCGAUGUACAUCAAGAUCAAGAUUUUCUAACUCCUUCUUCCAGUCCAACAUCAAGCAUUUUAUUUCGUCAAUGGAAAUCUCUAUUUCAGAUUUAGCUCCUUCAGUGGGAGUUACUUCAAUCGACAUAGAUGACGUGAUGACAUUGGUCUCGAAUCAUGUUCAGACGAGGGAUUGGAUGACUAAGAUGGGGUAUCCAUUGCUUGGAGAUAAGAUGGAUCAUGAUCUGCCAUGCUGUACCUUGUUAAAUAAUAACCGUAAUACAAUAUAGCUAAGGCAAUAUAAUAUAAUAUAAUGGCUAGAGGAAACUGCGAUCCUGCAAAGACCAUGUUACGGAUCAAGUCCGCAGGAAUAGCAAGCUUUUUGUAAGGAAAUGAUUCGUAUGAAUGCAUA